CAGCAACAACAGCAGCCCAAUAACAAACAAGAAUCUUAUAUGUGGAGUAGCUCGUUCAGUAUUUUCUGGGUCGUGAGACGUGUGCAGGAAGUAAAUCAGAAAUCAUACAAACCUACAUCUCACUGAAAAUACUCUGGCAAUUGGAAAAGACACCACAACGGCCUUCAACUUGGAGGAGGAUAAGGACUCUGGGGGGGAAGUGAAGAAAGGAGGCUAGGUUCUAUGGCGAGUCGGAGGAGGGGCUUGUUAUGCUAAACCUUGGAGGACUGCAAGCCUUGAUAAAGACGUUUUGGGGUGGGCGAGGCAUGAGGGCUUCCAAUUUCGCUCCUUCCUGUAAUGGCAAUUCAUCUCAAACCAAUGGGUAUUUAUUAAGGGCAAAGCUCAAGGCCAGCUCUCAGGGAGGAAGAUCGAUGACCGGGACCACCAGAGACUCUUCUCUUCCGCCCUAAUCACGAAGCUGUGACUUUUUUAUAUUUACCCAUCUGGAGCAGACCACGCUUCUGCAGUCUUUGUAAAAAGAAGACUUGAGCUGAACUCCGUUAAGGCCCCUUCAUUGCCAAGAAUCCAGAGUUGGUACCUGAAUUUGAAGUCUUUCUCAUUUGUAAAAUGGGAUUUAAUGUAGUCCGCCAAGAAAAGAGAAUUGCCUGACCCAGUCCACCAGUUUGAGUUUAGGUUUGAAUUGCCAAGUGUUGGGAGAGAUUUGUUGGAAAGACCAAAAGGUAGAAAUACCCUUAUCACAAUACACAGACAUAAUCCAGAGGGAUUCUGGCAGCCCAGGAUUCCCAGAAGCCCUGAAGUAGCAGUCCCAUUUAGUAUGUCCCAUCUUCAAGAUGGACAAUGUUAUGGACAAUAUAUCCCUUAAAGGAGAAUUUUAAUAUUAGAAAGGAGGCAAUGGUUGUGCCCUUUUGACUUCUUCCUGGUCAAAGCACCUUGGAGAAAAGAAAGGAACCAGAAGCUGCUUGGGAUUUAAGAACUCGUGAUUGAGAUAAAAUUUAUCUUAUCACUGGGAGGUACUGCAGGAGUUGAGGACAAAUGAUAUGUGCCGGAAACAUUGGGGGAUUGUGAACUGCAGCAUCCUAAAUCAGCUAAUGGACUACUUAUCUUUUGCAACCCUACAAAAAGGUACACUGAUUGUGGGAGGUCUCCACUAAGAACACAAUUUCUCUAAGCACCACUAGGUAAAAUUUACCUAUAUUUCUAUUAUAUGUAAGUAGCCAAAAUCUCACUCUAUCUGCCUCAGAGCUGGUGGUAUUCAUUAAUAUCUGGUCUAAUAUUAUUGGAAGUCUACCUAAUUUGAAAUAAAUAUCUGAGUCCAAACCGCAGCUCUAUUUUCUACUUGUAUGACCAUAGACAAUUACCUCUCUAGGCCUCAUAUACCUAUCUGAAAGUGAAACAAUGGAACCAGAUGAUUCUAUGUGCCUUCUAAGGUCUAGCUAUAAAUAGAGCACAACUAGGUGGUGAAAUGGAUAUUAAAAAAAAAGAGGACAUAACUGAAGAACAUCAACAAAAGCUCUAAGUUCUAAUUCAGUUUGACCCACCCAUGUUUUGUUAAGGGAACAUCAUCAGUUUCAUAAGAGGAAGUGGGAUGGAAACUGAAUGAGGUUGGGUGACCCCGGGGGAGAGAAUCCGCAUUUCUUAACAGAACAGAGGAUGAGAAAAAAUGCUUUAUUAAUUAUUAUUAUUGUUGUUGUUCUUGUUGUUAUUCUCUGGCUGUCUCCCAUGCUUGAAAUGCUAUCCCUCCUCAAAUUCACCUUUUGACUUUCCCAGCUUCCUUUAAAUGCCAACUAAAAUUCCGUCUUUUAUAGGGAGCCUUUCACAACCCCUCUUAAUUCUAAUACCUUCUCUCUGUUAAUUAUUUCCUAUUUGUCCUGUAUAUGGCUUAUUUUGGAUAUAAUUGUUUACAUGUUGUCUCCCUAAAUCGAUUUUAAGAUUCUUGAGGAAAGGGACUGCCUUUGUCUUUUGUAGUAGCCCAGUGCUCUGCUCAGUGCCUAGCAUAUGAUAGGUGCUUUAUAAAUAUUUAUCGAUUGAUUGUAAAUUGGAAACAAUGAGAAAAAAGAUUUCUCUAAAGUAAGCAUUCUUAGAAUCUAUGAAAUUUUGUCUUUAUUUUUUGAAAAUUGUAUUUCAGAAUAACAGAUUUCAUUUGUAAUCUUUUAUAUCUUAUUUUAUUCAUUUAAAAACAUCAUUUAGAAGGGGUCUGUAGACUUUGCCAGAUUGCCAGAAGAGUCCAUGACACCCAAAAAAGUUAAGAACCACUGCUCUAUAAAUAGAAAAUAUUUCUUGUGAGAAGGUAUCCUGUACCAGUUUGCUGAUUUUCUGUUUUGAAAUCCCUGUUCUUGGCAUCUUGGGGAGAGGCUGGGUUUCAAAAUACAAUGGAAGAGAACAUGGAACAGCAUUUGUGCUUUGUGUGAAAGGAAAUUCUUGGUUCUCUUUGUGUAUUCUACUUUUGCACUUGUAAAAAGGGAAUCCUUUGUUCUCUUUGCCUAGUUGGAGUUAAUACUUUAACAAUAACUUAAGUACUCUUACUUAGUACCAUUAGACUUAAGACAGGAUUAACUCUUUUGUCUACUUUUGAAUUAACCAACAAAAAAUACAACCAUAUUUAACCCUAAAUUAAGGGAAGUCCACAAACUCUUACUCCUAGGAGGAGAGUUAACACCUUUAGCAGAAAGAAGACAGCAAGAUACUUGGAAGAACUCCACCCUUUUUCUAACUCAAACAGCCAGAAACUUUUGAAUUCUUAUAAGAGUUUACAUACUCUGAAACAUGUGAAUCCAAAGGUGAGAACUCAGAGUUGUAACAGUUUUGGAAACUGUGAUUGGCCCCUGUGAAGAGGAGUGGGGAUAGGAAACCACCAUAAAAGCUACAAAAAUCCUUCAGCUGUGAGUCUGUGAAGGUUGAAUCUUGUGGAGAGUGUCUCCUGGAGAUAAUCUUUGAGGAAACCUCAUUGCAGACUACAGUGUGGAUCUUGACUUCAACCUGAACUCUGACUCCUGGACUAUUUGGUUGGAGUCAUCUAAACCCAGUGGCAAGAUUGGCGAUGGCCCCAGAUGCAGUGGAUGAUUGUGGUAUCCUGAAUGUCUGACCAAGCUCUAGAUGCUGCACAGAACCUGCUUCAGCUGCCUUCAUGACUUUGAACUUGGGACAGUGCUAUAUGCUUAUUCUUAGUUUUUCUGGGAGAAAAAUUCCACUGGAAGCUAAGGUUAGAGGUAGAGUUGGACGAAAGGAAGGAGGAUGAGCAAAAAAGCAUGCUUCUUUUUGAAAGGGUUGGCAUCCUAUUUAUUUUUUUAUCCUAGGGCAAAUCCCAGGUGAUCUCAUUGAAUUAAGGCUCUGGCUUGAGGUCAGGAGGUCUGAAUUUGAAUCUAUGCUGACAAUUUAUAGACUAUCAGAGCUGCAAGGGUCCUGGCCAUGAGUCCCUUAUAAAGUAUUAUGAAUAGGUGAUCACAAAACUUAAGAACCUCCACUGUAGGGAACACCACUACCUCCUGAGGUAAUUCAUCUUACAUCUGGAUAGCUCUUUAAAAAAAAAAAACAAAAACAGCUUUCCUUUACAUUAAGCUUAAAUCUGCCUCUCUGAAACUUACCCCCAUUGUUUUAUAGUUCUGAGCUUUGAGGACAAACAGAAUAAAUCUAAUCCCCCUUAAUCUCUCCUACAUAGCAUCCCUCUAAAUACUCAAGAAUACUAUCAAACCUCAUAAAUCUUUUUUUCUUUCAAGCUCAAAAUUCCCAGAUCUUUCAGUAAGCAUGUCUCCCAUUCAGUCUGUGUUUGUGCUUUAUAGAAGAUGAGUUCCUAUUAAUGAUCAAAUGAAAUAAUAAUUGCAAAACAUUUAGCACAGUGUCUAGCACAUAGGGAACGCUAUGUAAAUGUUAACUAUUAUUAUUAUCAUCACUUUGGACCUAUUAAAAGAUAUAAAACAUUAGAUAGGUUCCUUGGACCUUAUAAAGGAUAAAAGACUUAGAAUAGUCAUUUGCAUAUGAAAAGGCAAGAAAGCUUCUAAGUAUCUAGUGAACUUGGCUGAGGAUAUAUACUGUAUUGGCUCUGUUACUUUCCCCAAGAAGGAAGGAAGUUCCUCUGGUGCAACUAAAAAUAAGCAUAUAGCAUUGUCCCAAGCUUCCUCCUGUUCCUGCCCACAUAUAUCUCCUCCUCUAACCUAAGGAAUACUUGAAGCCUACUCCUUGGUGGAAGUGUCCAGUCCUUCAGCAGCACAGAAACCUUGGACUUCUUGGGGUGUUCUUCCAUCCCCUACUGCCUCUCCUACAUAAUUAAACACACAAACUUUAAUAUUGCUAGUUUAUAUGAUUCUGCUUCAAACCCAGGGAACCUUCUACUCUACACUGCCUCUUAGUUUACUCCUAAAAAAAGAGAAUAGAGCACCAACAUCCCUAUAAUUGACAUUGCUGAGUAAUACUGUGUUGCCACACUUCCUUUGAAGAUAGAAGAGAUUCAGGUUCUCAACACAUCUGUCAUCACCAAAACAAUAGGGUAAAUGGAUUAAGGGAGAAAAGGCAAACAUGCCAUACAUUGUAAGAGAACGGGCUAAUUUGGAAAACCCCAAAUCUAAACAAAAUGCAGGAAUUAAAGAAGAUUUGGCCAAGUC